rnacentral:rRNA from 1 species
AGGACGAACGCUGGCGGCGUGCUUAACACAUGCAAGUCGAACGGUGACGAGGAGCUUGCUCCUCUGAUCAGUGGCGAACGGGUGAGUAACACGUGAGUAACCUGCCCCAGACUCUGGGAUAACAGUUGGAAACAGCUGCUAAUACCGGAUACGAGACGGAGAGGCAUCUCUACCGUCUGGAAAGUUUUCGGUCUGGGAUGGACUCGCGGCCUAUCAGCUUGUUGGUGAGGUAAUGGCUCACCAAGGCGACGACGGGUAGCCGGCCUGAGAGGGCGACCGGCCACACUGGGACUGAGACACGGCCCAGACUCCUACGGGAGGCAGCAGUGGGGAAUAUUGCACAAUGGGCGAAAGCCUGAUGCAGCGACGCCGCGUGAGGGAUGACGGCCUUCGGGUUGUAAACCUCUUUCAGCAGGGAAGAAGCGAAAGUGACGGUACCUGCAGAAGAAGCACCGGCUAACUACGUG